AACGAACGCUGGCGGCAGGCUUAACACAUGCAAGUCGAACGGGCGUAGCAAUACGUCAGUGGCAGACGGGUGAGUAACACGUGGGAACCUUCCUAGGGGUACGGAACAACUCAGGGAAACUUGAGCUAAUACCGUAUACGUCCGUAAGGAGAAAGAUUCAUCGCCCCUAGACGGGCCCGCGUCGGAUUAGGUAGUUGGUGGGGUAACGGCCUACCAAGCCUACGAUCCGUAGCUGAUCUGAGAGGAUGAUCAGCCACACUGGGACUGAGACACGGCCCAGACUCCUACGGGAGGCAGCAGUGGGGAAUCUUGGACAAUGGGCGCAAGCCUGAUCCAGCCAUGCCGCGUGAGUGAAGAAGGCCUUAGGGUUGUAAAGCUCUUUUACCAGGGACGAUAAUGACGGUACCUGG
rnacentral:rRNA from 1 species